GCCUAGCCCUAAACCUUGGUAAUAUAUCACAUACCCCACCCGCCUGGGAACUACGAGCACCAGCUUAAAACCCAAAGGACUUGGCGGUGCUUUAGACCCCCCUAGAGGAGCCUGUUCUAGAACCGAUAACCCCCGUUCAACCUCACCCUUCCUUGUUUAUCCCGCCUAUAUACCGCCGUCGUCAGCUUACCCUGUGAAGGCCUAAAAGUAAGCACAACUGGUACAACCCAAAACGUCAGGUCGAGGUGUAGCGCAUGGAAGGGGAAGAAAUGGGCUACAUUCCCUAUAUUAGGGAACACGAAUAGCGCACUGAAACACGCGCCUGAAGGAGGAUUUAGUAGUAAGCGGAAAAUAGCGUGUUCCGCUGAAAUCGGCCCUGAAGCGCGC
rnacentral:rRNA from 1 species